GUUGAAACCCCAGUUCUCUUAUGACCACCAAAGUUAAGCAACAUCCAGCCAGGUUAGUACCUAGAUGGGUGACCACUUGGGAAUGUCAGAUGCUGUAAG